GAUCCUGGCUCAGGACGAACGCUGGCGGCGCGCCUAACACAUGCAAGUCGAACGAGCGAGAGAGAGCUUGCUUUCUCGAGCGAGUGGCGAACGGGUGAGUAACGCGUGAGGAACCUGCCUCAAAGAGGGGGACAACAGUUGGAAACGACUGCUAAUACCGCAUAAGCCCACGACCCGGCAUCGGGUUGAGGGAAAAGGAGCAAUCCGCUUUUAGAUGGCCUCGCGUCCGAUUAGCUAGUUGGUGAGG
rnacentral:rRNA from 1 species